rnacentral:tRNA from 1 species
GUUUGUUGUAGUUUAUUUGGUUAGGAUAUUUGGCUCUCACCCAAAAAUACCCGUGUUCAAGUCCCCGCAACGGAAA